GACGAACGCUGGCGGCGUGCUUAACACAUGCAAGUCGAACGAUGAUGCCCAGCUUGCUGGGUGGAUUAGUGGCGAACGGGUGAGUAACACGUGAGUAACCUGCCCCUGACUCUGGGAUAAGCGUUGGAAACGACGUCUAAUACUGGAUAUGACUACCGGCCGCAUGGUCUGGUGGUGGAAAGAUUUUUUGGUUGGGGAUGGACUCGCGGCCUAUCAGCUUGUUGGUGAGGUAAUGGCUCACCAAGGUGACGACGGGUAGCCGGCCUGAGAGGGUGACCGGCCACACUGGGACUGAGACACGGCCCAGACUCCUACGGGAGGCAGCAGUGGGGAAUAUUGCACAAUGGGCGAAAGCCUGAUGCAGCAACGCCGCGUGAGGGAUGACGGCCUUUGGGUUGUAAACCUCUUUUAGUAGGGAAGAAGCGAAAGUGACGGUACCUGCAGAAAAAGCACCGGCUAACUACGUGCCAGCAGCCGCGGUAA
rnacentral:rRNA from 1 species